UCUGCUUCUGCAGCUCCUCAAUCUCUCGCUGCAGCCCAGAUUUCUCAUCUUCCAGUUUGUCAGUCUCCUGUAGAAGAUCAGGAGAGGAGUCAGAAAGGUGAGGGCUGAAUACCCCAGAGCCGCAGACGUUUGGACUCAGGGUUCUGAGGAGCUGGGGUUGGGCGGGGGGAGAGGGGGGGCAGUGGAGAGUCCCCAGCAAGUCUGGACUACAACUCCCAUAAGCCCCUGGGAGAAAAUGGGCACAACUCCCAUCAGGCCCAGACGUUUUAGGAGAUUGCUGGCACCAGGCAGUGACUCCGGCCUGUAAUCCCAGCACUUUGGGAGGCUGAGGCGGGCGGAUCACUUGAGACCAGGAGUUUGAGACCAGCCUGGCUAACUUGGCGAAACCCCGUCUCUACUAAAAAUACAAAAAUUAGUCGGGUAGGGAGGCAGGCGCCUGUAGCCCCAGGUACUCAGCAGGCUGAGGCAUAAGAAUUGCUGGAGCCUGGGAGACAGAUGUCACAGUGAGCCAUGAGCCGAGAUCUCAUCACUGCACUCCAGCCUGGGUGACAGAGCGAGACUCUGUCUCAAAAAAAAAAGGAGAUUGCUGGCUGAGCUUCAGCUCUGCUGUGAGUGAGACAUGCUGCAGCCAGUUUCUAAUCAAUUUUUCCUCAUCAUUUUCCCAGAAGGACUGCCCCUCAGACAAGGAGCUAGGAUGGUGAGGAGGGGGCUACAUAUACUGGGGCUCUGGGGGCUCUGGGAGACAGGGUCCCUCUGAGCUCGGUGGACCAGGGCUGGUGCUCACCGCCUGCAGGAAGUCGGUCAGUUCCUUCCUCCGGUUCCUGCACUUGGCCGCAGCCAGCUUGUUCCGCUCGCGCCUUACUCGGCGGCGCUCCUCUUCCUCCGGGCUGAUCUGGGGGUGAGACCCGCAGUGAGGAGGACCCUGGGCUACUGGCUGCCUGGAACUCGCCCCUCAUGGUGGCCCAGUGGUAGGACCCUGGCAGAGGUCAUGGCAGGGCCCCCUCAGCCGGUGAUUUAGGGAUCACUGCACCCAACCAGUUCCCUGCACUGAGGCGCUGUCUGCUUUGAUUGGUAAAAUUUCCUCCUCGCACCUAGCUUUAGUGCACAUUCCUCUCCCAUAAUGCCCUCCCCCUCCGCAAACCCUAACCCUCCUCAUCUCCCAGGACUCAACUAAGAUGCUCCUGCCUCCAGGAAGCCGUCUUAUUCCCCAGCCAGAAGUGACCUUUCCUUCUCAGCACCCUCUUUGCAGGACCCUCAUCCUUCUGGAUCUGUGGACAACCAAGUCUCCUCUUCCAUGAGCUGUAAGCACUAGGAGGGGCUAAUGAGUGCUGCUGAUUAAGUUGCAAUUUAUUGGAAAACUACUAUGUGCCAGCCAAGUACUUUACGUAGAUUCUUGUUUUUCACUGAGAACAUGCAAAGAUUUUAUUUUAUUUUAUUUUAUUUUUUUUAGACAGAGUCUCACUCUUUCCCAGGCUGGAGUGCAUUGGCCCAAUCUUGGCUCACUGCAACCUCCACCUACUGGGUUCAAGUGAUUCUCGUGCCUCAGCCUCCCAAGUAGCUGGGAUUACAGGCAUGUACCACCACACCUGGCUAAUUUUUGUAUUUUUAGUAGAGACGAGGUUUCACCAUGUUGGCCAGGCUGGUCUUGAACUCUUAACCUCAGGUGAUCCACCCUCCUCAGCCUCCCAAAGUGCUGGGAUUACAGGCAUGAGCCACUGUGCUCGGCCUUUUUUUUUCUUUUUUUUUUUUGUGUAGUGACGGGGUCUCACUGUGUUGCCCAGGCUGGUCUGGAACUCAUGGGCUCAAGGGAUCCUCCUGCACUGGCCUCCUAGAAUGUUUGGAUUACCAGGGGGAGUCACCACAGCUGGCCUCUUUUUUAAAAAAACAUAGAUUCUUUUUUUUUUUUUUUUUUGAGACGGAGUCUCACUCUGUUGCCCAGGCUGGAGUGCAGUGGUGCCAUCUCGGCUCACUGCAAGCUCCGCCUCCGGGGUUCACGCCAUUCUCCUGCCUCAGCCUCCCGAGUAGCUGCGACUACAGGUGCCUUCCACCACGCCCAGCUAAUUUUUUGUAUUUUUUAGUAGAGACACGGUUUCAUCAUGUUAGCCAGGAUGGUCUCGAUCUCCUGACCUCAUGAUCCACCUUCCUUGGCCUCCCAAAGUGCUGGGAUUACAGGCGUGAGCCACCAUGCCUGGCCUUAAACUAGAUUCUUAACGCAACUUUCCAUGAAAAACUGAAGCCCAGAGAGGAUAACUUACUUAUGGUUCCAGAGCAGGACUUAGAACCCAUAGAACUCACUCACUCUAUUCCACAUUGAGUGACAGGCCAGAUGAGAGAGACCAUUUCACCAAAAGGAUCCAACUCACAGCUCACAGCCCUACCUGGAGAACCCAGGAUCAAAGGGUCACCCUCAGGACCAGGCUGAAGGAAGGACGCACAGGAGGGUUUACCCCUGGCCCGCUUCUGCGGCUCAUACCACAGUCCCUCCUCACCACAAAGGCCAGACAUUCUGUUCUGGGAAACCUGUCUCUGGCUGAUCUCUCACCUUUCCCAGGGCCCUAACCUCUCUCCCCAUCCUCUACCUGCCGACCAAGCUUUUUAACCUCAUCCCCUGUAGUCUCCCACACCAAAAUGCCCCAGGGAGAGGAAAGAUGAGCCACUCCUUUAAAGACUCGCCAUCUCUUACUCACUUAUUUUGGUAAGGGCUUUGGGGAGCCAAGAAUUGUCAGUUCCCUCUACUUUGAGCCUUCUGUUAGCUUCCAGUGAGACAGCGUGGCUUGGUGAUUAGUUUUGGGGGUUUUAUUUUAUUUUGUUUUUUCGGUAGAGACAGGGUCUCUCUAUGUUGCCCAACCUAGUCUUGAACUCCUGGCCUCAAGUGAUCCUCCUGCCUAGGUCUCUCAAAGUGCUGGGAUUACAGGCAUGAGCUACUGCACCUGGCCCUGGUUUGGUGGUUAGGAUCUGACUUUAGAGUUGUAUAGACCUGGGGCCAAGGCCAGUCCUGUGUCAUUACUCACUACUUGUGUGAUCUUGGGCAAGUGACUACCCUUCUGUGCCUUCAUUUCUUUGGUGGAAGAUGGGGAAAACCAGAGUACAUUCCCCAGAGAGAUUUUGUGAGGAUUAAAUGAGACAGGGAAACUGAGACUGAGGGAGUAGCUGAAGGGAACCCUCUUGUUCCUGUUCUCUCCCAGACAACAUAAGCGCCCCCUCUAUGCAUGUCAGCAGGUGGAGACCCCCUCACCAUUCCGUGUGCGCACCUUACAUGUUCUUGCCUCCGCCUCCAUCCUUGCUCCUGCCACCCCCGCUACCUGGAAUGUCCUUUCCUUCCUCUCUGCCUCUGCCAGUCCUACCCAUCCUUCUAGGCUAAUAUGCCACCUUUUCCAGGAAGCUUUCCCUGAUCUGGAAGUGACUGUUGUACCCUCUGGGCCUCCCGUGGGGCUCCUAUCACUUUCAGCCUUGGGCAGUAGUCACCUGUAGCCUACCUUACCCCCUCCUAAGCCUGUGCUCUCCUUUCUGGCAGGAGCUUCUCUGCACCCUAGCACUCCUGGGCGGGGUCGGAACCACUGCAAUGCCUCUGUGCCUUACCUGUUCACAAGGCCUUCGACGUACCCCUGGAGGCGGCCCCAGGGCCCGGAUGACUCCUGGCCGGGGUUGUGGGGGGCUGUACUGAGGGUAGGUCAGAGGCUACACUGCUGUCUACCUUCAAUGUACAGGCUAGCUCUGGGAACAGAAAGAGCACAGCUUGGCAGUCAGAGACUGACCUGGUGGCAAAUCCCUGCUCAUAAGCUGUGUGGCUUUGGGGCAGGUCACAUAACCUCUCUGUGCCCCCAUUUCCCCAUUAGAACUAACAUUUAUAAAGCACAAACUGCCAGGAACUGUUCUAACCACUUUACAAAUACUGACUCAUAUCAUUGGCACAGUAAUAUCUUCAUUUUCUUUUCUUUCUUUUUUUUCUUUUUUUUUUUUCAGAUGGAGUCUCACUCUGUUGCCCAGGCUGGAGUGUAGUGGCACGAUCUCAGCUCACUGCAACCUGCGCCUCCCAGGUUCGAGUGAUCCUCCUGCCCCAGCCUCCUGAGUAGCUGGGAUUAUAGGCGUGCACCACCAUGCCCGGCUAAUUUUUGUAUUUGUGGUAGAGACAGGGUUUCACCAUGUUUGCCAGGCUGGUCUCCAGCUCCCAACCUCAGGUGAUCCACCCGCCUCGGCCUCCCAAAGUGCUGGGAUUACAGGCGUGAACCACAGCGCCCAGCCUAGUAUCUUCAUUUUCAGACGGGAGAACAGUUGUCCGCAGACACAGAGCCAAUGAGCCCAGCAGCUGGGCUCUUACCCACUCCUGCACCCGUUUGCACGAAGAGGAUAAUUACAGCUCCCAGCUCAAGGGGAGGCUGUGAGAAUCAGGUGAGAGAAUGUGUGCGACAGUCUGGUAAGUGGCAGGUGCCCAGUGCAGAGGGGCUGAGGCAGGAAAGAGUCACUGCUCUGGGUUCAGGCCAUUCCAUUGCUUUUUUUUUUUUUUUUCUUGAGACAGGGUCUCACUCUUUCACCCAGGUUGGAGUGCAGUGACCUGCGGGCUCAAGCAAUCCUCCCACCUCAGCCUCCCAAGUAGCUGGGACUACCGACGUGCACCACCACAUUUGGCUAAUUUUUUUUUUCUUUUCUGUUUUUUUUUUUUUGAGACACAGUCUUGCUUUGUCACCCAGGUUGGAGUGCAGUAGCCCGAUCUCGCCUCACUGCAACCUCCACCUCCUGGAUUCAAGCAAUUCUCCUGCCUCAGCCUCCCGAGUAGCUGGGACUACAGGCGCCCACAACUGUGCCCGGCUAAUUUUUGUAUUUUUAGUAGAGACAGGGUUUCACUAUGUUGGCCAGGCUGGUCUUGAACUCCUGACCUCUGGUGAUCCACCCGCCUUGGCCUCCCACAGUGCUGGGAUUAUAGGCAUGAGGCACCGCGCACGGCCUGGCUAAUUUUUUUUAAAUUUUUUUGUAGAGACAGGGUCUCACUAGGUUGCCCAGGGUGGUCUCAAAUUCCUGAGCUGAAGCAGUCCACCCACCUCAGCCUCCCAAAGUGUUGAGAUGACAGGCUUUAGCCACCUGGCAUGGCAGGCUGUCCCAAUUCUAAUCUCAGCUCUCAGCUACUUACUGGCUGUGUGACCAUGGGCAAGUUAUUUAACCUCCAUGUGCCUCAGUUUCCUCAUUUUUAAUAUUGUUACAGGUGAGGAUUACAGGAUUUCACUGAUGUUAAGAAGUACCCUUUAAUAGCUCUGAAAUCAUAGUUUAAUUGGCAAUUUAAAAAAUUUUAGUGGACUAGGCAUGGUGGCUCAUACCCAGCACUUUGGGAGGCUGAGGUAGAAGGAUCACUUGAGCUCAGGAGUUUGAGGUCACACCGGGCAACACAGUGAGACUUCAUUUCUACAAAAAAAUUAAAAAAUUAGUUGGGUGUGGUGGUGCGUGCCUGUGGCCAGGUCGCUUCCCAGCUAGGAUCUCAGUAGGAUUGCUUGAGCCCAGGAGGCUGAGGCUGCAGUGAGCUGUGAUUGCACCACUGCUCUAUAGUCUGGGCAACAGAGGGAGACCCUGUCUCAGAAAAAAAAAAAAAAAGAAAAGAAAGAGAAGGAAAGAAAAUUAGUGGCAUAAAGUUAUAGUGGGUUUUUUUUUCAAUCGAUGAGGUCUUCGAUUCCGUGAAAUAUGGUAAAUGAUGUAGCAAGCGCCCAGCACAACGUCCCUGUUCCCAUUCUAUCAGCCAGCUAUCUGAGGAGUGGGUUGGGAUGGGGCUCAGUGUUCUGGGAGAAGUGGGUUCUAGCUCUGCCGCUGGGCCCUGGGUGUGGGCGCCCAAUCGUCCGGGAAGCGCCCACAAGCCCAGGCAAGUCCCGACAGCGGUAGCCCGAGCCCAAGCGCUGCGGGCCCGGCGUCCCAGUGACCCCAGUUCCGGGUCCGAGGCACCGCCGGCGGCAUCUCCCACUCCCGGGCCCGGGCCGCUCCAGGCCAGGAAGGGAGGGACGCCCCGGGUGACUCAGCCGCCGUGACUCGGCCGCCGUGACUCGGCGGAACGGACGCCCCUCCUUCCCUCCCCUGUCGACACGUGCUCGCAGCCCCUCGACAGGAAAUGGGCACCUGCAGCCUCCCGGGUGCCCCCCGGCGGGCAGCGGGCGCCGUUAGGGGCUGAGAGUGGGGUCGCGAGAGUCGCCCGCAGCCUGACCCCGCGCACGUCCCGGAACCUCGAGGUCUCUAUUCGCCGCAUUCGGCAAAGGGAUCGAGGGCCGGUCUCCGGGGACCUGGCAGGUUCCACUGCCCGGACCCCCCUGGACUCCCCAGGCCGAGAAACGAUAGGGACUUGGCGACGGAGGGGCGAAGGACAGACAGACGGACGGACACGCGGAGGGUCGCAGACCGGGCCGGGACUCCCACCCUGGCCCAGCUGCUCUCCCGACGGAUCCCGCCUCCCUCCCGUGUGGGGACCCUCACCCCAGCCCAGACUCCAGAUCCCAGGAAUUCAGCCCGAAGCGGAGAGACCCUCCUAGCCUUCGAGGCGACCACCCUAGGCGCCCACGCCCCUUCUGAAGCAGGGUGGACGCAGAAGUCAGAGGUGGGCAGGAGGAGAGAAAGCGGGCACGGAGACGGAGGGACGGACGCGGACGGCGAGGGAGAAGGGGGCGGCUGGGAGAAGGGGAGUUCGCGGGUCUCUGCUGCCCGCUGCGCGGUGGGGGCAACUGGCCCCGGACGGCGAGGGGCAGGAUCCUCGCCCCAGCCCCCAGCCCGGCCCCGACUCCGGUUCCCCGCUCCAGUCCCGGAGCGUGCGGGAGUUGACCCCGGCCUCCCACGCGCGGUCCUCCCGUGGGACCACCGGCGUCGGGCCCCACUCACCUGCUGGGCUGCCUGCGCUGCGGCCGGGGGCUGCGCGGGGCCGCCGUACCCGCCGCCGUUCCCGGAGCUCGGGCCGGGUUCCCCGAAG
rnacentral:lncRNA from 10 species